rnacentral:rRNA from 1 species
AUUGAACGCUGGCGGCAGGCUUAACACAUGCAAGUCGAGCGGGGUGAUGGUGCUUGCACUAUCACUUAGCGGCGGACGGGUGAGUAAUGCUUAGGAAUCCGCCUAUUAGUGGGGGACAACAUCUCGAAAGGGAUGCUAAUACCGCAUACGUCCUACGGGAGAAAGCAGGGGAUCACUUGUGACCUUGCGCUAAUAGAUGAGCCUAAGUCGGAUUAGCUAGUUGGUGGGGUAAAGGCCUACCAAGGCGACGAUCUGUAGCGGGUCUGAGAGGAUGAUCCGCCACACUGGGACUGAGACACGGCCCAGACUCCUACGGGAGGCAGCAGUGGGGAAUAUUGGACAAUGGGGGGAACCCUGAUCCAGCCAUGCCGCGUGUGUGAAGAAGGCCUUAUGGUUGUAAAGCACUUUAAGCGAGGAGGAGGCUCUUUUGGUUAAUACCCAAGAUGAGUGGACGUUACUCGCAGAAUAAGCACCGGCUAACUCUGUGCCAGCAGCCGCCGUAAAAC